rnacentral:rRNA from 1 species
GAUCCUGGCUCAGGAUGAACGCUGGCGGCGUGCUUAACACAUGCAAGUCGAGCGAAGCGCUUAAGUCUGAUUCUUCGGAUGAAGACUUUUGUGACUGAGCGGCGGACGGGUGAGUAACGCGUGGGUAACCUGCCUCAUACAGGGGGAUAACAGUUAGAAAUGACUGCUAAUACCGCAUAAGACCACGGUACCGCAUGGUACAGUGGUAAAACUCCGGUGGUAUGAGAUGGACCCGNGGU